CACAUUUUUAUAUGGGGACACUGUGAGUAAAAAUGACAGUUUUUGCUUCGUAAAUAUGUGUAGGACUCGUUACAAGGCAAAUACUUGCUAAUUAGUAUUUGUGACCUGUUUUGACCCGUACAAGUAAUUGAAAUUUAGGUUUGAUAUUUUAUUUGCCUGCUCUGUGUGUUAAGGUGUAUGAAAUUGUUAGUCGGGAUCGUUGUACAAAUAUGAUUUAUAAAUGAUGUUUAUUUACUGUUGUGGUUUUGAACUCUAUUUUGAUGAGCUUUCUCCACUGUUUAAGAUUAUGUUGAUUCACUUUCACAAACGCAUACAAUAAUCAUUUACAUCUUUUUGUUUUGUUUUUAAAGUUAGGUAUGAGAGUAAACACGACAUCGCCGGAUGAUUUGCCAGCACAAGCCAAUAUCAUCACAUCCAAUUUCCAAACUCCUUGCAACAUCAUGGUCAUCACGGGGGACAUCGAUUUCAAAAGACCGAUCCGG